UACGUAGGGUGCAAGCGUUGUCCGGAAUUAUUGGGCGUAAAGAGCUCGUAGGCGGUCUGUCGCGUCUGCUGUGAAAACCUAGGGCUUAACUCUGGGCGUGCAGUGGGUACGGGCAGGCUAGAGUGCGGUAGGGGAGACUGGAAUUCCUGGUGUAGCGGUGAAAUGCGUAGAUAUCAGGAGGAACACCCGUGGCGAAGGCGGCUCUCUGGAUCGACCCUGACGCUGAGGCGCGAAAGCGUGGGGAGCGAACAGG
rnacentral:rRNA from 1 species